GUAUGAAACUGGGUUGUCUACAGGCGGUGGUAUGAAACUGGGUUGUUUACAGGUGGUGGUAUGAAACUGGGUUGUUUACAGGCGGUGGUAUGAAACUGGGUUGUCUACAGGCGGUGGUAUGAAACUGGGUUGUCUACAGGUGGUGGUGUGAAACUGGGUUGUCUACAGGUGGUGGUGUGAAACUGGGUUGUCUACAGGUCAGCUGAGCUCUAUUCUUUCUCCACCCCAGGGGUAGAACUGUGUUAGUUUUACAGAUAUCAGGUGCAUUGCUUUGUGAUCUUGUAAAUCAUUCUAAGUAUUACACCACCAACACUUUGAACCUGUGUUUCCCUCUGCUGUGCCGUAGAUGAGGAGAGAACGUUACAUCUCUAACCCCCUGCAUCAGUCUCAUUACACACGCACGCACUCACUCUGGCACACGCACACACACCAUAGAUUAGCAUAGAUUCAUUCACCUCAUCUCAACCUCUCACAGCAUUCUCCAACAACACAGUAUUGGAACCCGGAACACAGAACCAUGCCUGAUCUGUGGACAGAACAAUACUGUGCUCUGCAGAACACGACAUACACCUGGUCUAAUUACAGUUUUUCUCAAUUGUUUACACACAAAUACUGGUACUUGAGACACAAUGACCACAACAUAGCCUUCCCUGUAGCUCAGUUGGUAGAGCAUGGUGUUUGCAACACCAGGGUUGUGGGUUCGAUUCCCACGGGGGGCCAGCAC
rnacentral:tRNA from 1 species